rnacentral:sRNA from 1 species
AAGAAAGUGACUGCCGCCCCGCACAGGGGCGAAGCUAAUAGACCAAUAACAAAACAAGCUUCAUGAGGGCACAGGCGCAUCAAACAGUUCUACAACCGUCCAACCCAAGCGCCAGCGGCAUCAC